rnacentral:rRNA from 1 species
CAGCCGCCACGGUAAUACGAAGGGGGCUAGCGUUGUUCGGAAUUACUGGGCGUAAAGCGCACGUAGGCGGACAUUUAAGUCAGGGGUGAAAUCCCGGGGCUCAACCCCGGAACUGCCUUUGAUACUGGGUGUCUAGAGUAUGGAAGAGGUGAGUGGAAUUCCGAGUGUAGAGGUGAAAUUCGUAGAUAUUCGGAGGAACACCAGUGGCGAAGGCGGCUCACUGGUCCAUUACUGACGCUGAGGUGCGAAAGCGUGGGGAGCAAACAGGAUUAGAGACCCCGGUAGUCCCUGUCUCUUAUAA